rnacentral:rRNA from 1 species
GGCGGUGGAUGAUGUGGAUUAAUUCGAUGCAACGCGAAAAACCUUACCUACCCUUGACAUGUCCGGAAUCCGAAGAGAUUUGGGAGUGCUCGCAAGGAGAACCGGAACACAGGUGCUGCAUGGCUGUCGUCAGCUCGUGUCGUGAGAUGUUGGGUUAAGUCCCGCAACGAGCGCAACCCUUGUCAUUAGUUGCCAUCAUUUGGUUGGGCACUCUAAUGAGACUGCCGGUGACAAACCGGAGGAAGGUGGGGAUGACGUCAAGUCCUCAUGGCCCUUAUGGGUAGGGCUUCACACGUCAUACAAUGGUCGGUACAGAGGGUUGCCAACCCGCGAGGGGGAGCUAAUCCCACAAAGCCGAUCGUAGUCCGGAUCGCAGUCUGCAACUCGACUGCGUGAAGUCGGAAUCGCUAGUAAUCGUGGAUCAGCAUGUCACGGUGAAUACGUUCCCGGGUCUU